rnacentral:rRNA from 1 species
GAACACGAAGUGGUUGAUGCCAUGCUUCCAAGAAAAGCUUCUAAGCUUCAGGUAACCAGGAACCGUACCCCAAACCGACACAGGUGGUUGGGUAGAGAAUACCAAGGCGCUUGAGAGAACUCGGGUGAAGGAACUAGGCAAAAUGGCACCGUAACUUCGGGAGAAGGUGCGCCGGUGAGGGUGAAGCAUUUACUGCGUAAGCCCACGCCGGUCGAAGAUACCAGGCCGCUGCGACUGUUUAUUAAAAACACAGCACUCUGCAAACACGAAAGUGGACGUAUAGGGUGUGACGCCUGCCCGGUGCCGGAAGGUUAAUUGAUGGGGUUAGCGCAAGCGAAGCUCUUGAUCGAAGCCCCGGUAAACGGCGGCCGUAACUAUAACGGUCCUAAGGUAGCGAAAUUCCUUGUCGGGUAAGUUCCGACCUGCACGAAUGGCGUAACGAUGGCGGCGCUGUCUCCACCCGAGACUCAGUGAAAUUGAAAUCGCUGUGAAGAUGCAGUGUAUCCGCGGCUAGACGGAAAGACCCCGUGAACCUUUACUAUAGCUUUGCACUGGACUUUGAAUUUGCUUGUGUAGGAUAGGUGGGAGGCUUUGAAGCGUGGACGCCAGUCUGCGUGGAGCCAACCUUGAAAUACCACCCUGGCAACUUUGAGGUUCUAACUCAGGUCCGUUAUCCGGAUCGAGGACAGUGUAUGGUGGGUAGUUUGACUGGGGCGGUCUCCUCCUAAAGAGUAACGGAGGAGUACGAAGGUGCGCUCAGACCGGUCGGAAAUCGGUCGUAGAGUAUAAAGGCAAAAGCGCGCUUGACUGCGAGACAGACACGUCGAGCAGGUACGAAAGUAGGUCUUAGUGAUCCGGUGGUUCUGUAUGGAAGGGCCAUCGCUCAACGGAUAAAAGGUACUCCGGGGAUAACAGGCUGAUACCGCCCAAGAGUUCAUAUCGACGGCGGUGUUUGGCACCUCGAUGUCGGCUCAUCACAUCCUGGGGCUGAAGCCGGUCCCAAGGGUAUGGCUGUUCGCCAUUUAAAGUGGUACGCGAGCUGGGUUUAGAACGUCGUGAGACAGUUCGGUCCCUAUCUGCCGUGGACGUUUGAGAUUUGAGAGGGGCUGCUCCUAGUACGAGAGGACCGGAGUGGACGAACCUCUGGUGUUCCGGUUGUCACGCCAGUGGCAUUGCCGGGUAGCUAUGUUCGGAAAAGAUAACCGCUGAAAGCAUCUAAGCGGGAAACUUGCCUCAAGAUGAGAUCUCACUGGAACCUUGAGUUCCCUGAAGGGCCGUCGAAGACUACGACGUUGAUAGGUUGGGUGUGUAAGCGCUGUGAGGCGUUGAGCUAACCAAUACUAAUUGCCCGUGAGGCUUGACCAU